CCUACGGGUGGCAGCAGUGAGGAAUAUUGGUCAAUGGACGAGAGUCUGAACCAGCCAAGUAGCGUGAAGGAUGACUGCCCUAUGGGUUGUAAACUUCUUUUAUAAAGGAAUAAAACGAGGCACGUGUGCCUUUUUGCAUGUACUUUAUGAAUAAGGAUCGGCUAACUCCGUGCCAGCAGCCGCGGUAAUACGGAGGAUCCGAGCGUUAUCCGGAUUUAUUGGGUUUAAAGGGAGCGUAGAUGGGUUUUUAAGUCAGUUGUGAAAGUUUGCGGCUCAACCGUAAAAUUGCAAUUGAGACUGGCAGUCUUGAGUACAGUUGAGGCAAGCGGAAUGCGUGGUGUAGCGGUGAAAUGCUUAGAUAUCACGAAGAACCCCGAUUGCGAAGGCAGCCUACCAAACUGUGACUGACAUUGAUGCUCGAAAGUGUGGGGAUCAAACAGGAUUAGAUACCCGAGUAGUC
rnacentral:rRNA from 1 species